rnacentral:rRNA from 1 species
GUGGGGAAUCUUGCGCAAUGGGCGAAAGCCUGACGCAGCCAUGCCGCGUGAAUGAUGAAGGUCUUAGGAUUGUAAAAUUCUUUCACCGGGGACGAUAAUGACGGUACCCGGAGAAGAAGCUCCGGCUAACUUCGUGCCAGCAGCCGCGGUAAUACGAAGGGGGCUAGCGUUGCUCGGAAUUACUGGGCGUAAAGGGCGCGUAGGCGGACAGCUUAGUCAGAGGUGAAAGCCCAGGGCUCAACCUUGGAAUUGCCUUUGAUACUGGCUGUCUUGAGUUUGGGAGAGGUUAGUGGAACUCCGAGUGUAGAGGUGAAAUUCGUAGAUAUUCGGAAGAACACCAGUGGCGAAGGCGACUCACUGGCCCAAUACUGACGCUGAGGCGCGAAAGCGUGGGGAGCAAACAGGAUUAGAAACCCGAGUAGUCC